AAAAAAACAAACAGUUAGGUUGAGACAACAAAACUACAACUUCUUUAGGUUUAGGCGAAAAAAAACCCCAUCAACACUUAGUUAAGUUUAGGGAAAAACAUUGUGUUUUGGGUUAAAAUAACUACGAACACAAAGACAGCUACUCAUUGUUGAUUUCACACGGAAUGCGAACUCCAGUCUCCUCGGUAAAGCGCUGUUUUUUUCACACUGUCUAUACUACAGCGCCUGACUUCCGCUUCUACUCCUGUCACAAUUACUAUGGUUGCUAGAAGUCGCUGUCAUGUUCUUUUAUACCUUCUUUCGUAGAUCUACCAUGUGAAUAGAU